GGGACAGAUCCUUCCUGGAGCCCAUGGAGACAGCAUUGACUUCUUAAUAUCUUGGUUUUGGACUUGUGGCUUCCAGAACUCCAUGUGGAAAAGCAGCAG